rnacentral:lncRNA from 1 species
GGCAAGCCGAGACAAGUCUAAAGCAGAUUUUGGCAACAAGUGCCUAACGCCGACAACAGAGGAAUCCUAACAGAGGUCAUAAGUCAUCAACACCAAGUUGGUUUGUUAUUUAUACCCCAUUUAUUGAGAUAUUUGAAACUGAGAAUUUCUGUCAAACUGAUUUAUAUUUGGAAUCACAAGCUUCCCCUGAUCACCAGUAGGUGUCACUAUUUGGUAGUAUAUCUCUAACACCAACAUCCACGAAAUGACAAAUGAGAGUUCAUAUGAGAUCCAUCAUUCAAAGCAAAAAUCACACCCAGCAGGGCUCAGGCAUGCUGAAAACAAAAGGUUGCACAGAGUGAACACACGGGCGGCCAGCUGCUCUGUUCAGAGAGCAGGUUCAUAUUAAACCAUGAUGGCUUUUUUAAAGGUUAGCACAAAUGACUUUAAAGGUCAAAACCUGCAUUUUUUUUCCCUGUAGAAGAAAUGUGUUUUUUUUUCUUUGAAUACUAAACCAAAUGGAGUCAGUGUGUCAGAUAUAAGAAUCCAUCACUCUUCUAAAAAAGCUGCAAAUAUCAGUCUCUGGGGGAGAUAAGAAGUGACUCAGAACAGCCACCUCUGAGUGUAAACACAUGUGGACUGGUUACCUCUGCGUGUGGAUGUUAACAUGACUGAGUGUGUGUUUGUGUGUGGCUGUCUCCAGGUGUGAGUUGCCAUCCUGUCCUGGGUAAUGGAUGUAAUUAACUGGUCACUGUAGCAUAGAGUCUUUAUAUACCAUAAGUAAUAGUCAAGCCAGAGCAAAUCACCACGUAAUGGGCAAUUCUCCUCCCAGCAGGGGCACUAAAUGUUUCAUCCCACUUUCUCUAAUUACCCAAUUAAAGCUUAUGUGGCAGAUAUGCUCUCCUGUAUUGUCUUCUGCUUGAGCUUGAUGGUAUGAGAGCCUUUCAGUAAUCAUAUCCUUUCAACAGCAUGAGAAACAAGAAUGUGAAGGAGCAGCACCAUGGGGAAACUACGUACCAGCAUGUACGCAGCAGAGACUUUCCUAUACUGGUGCAAACAAGAACACAUCAAGCAUAAAACAAGAAAUGUGUUUGGUGUAAACACAUUUCCUGGUUGUAGGUCAGAGGACGCAAACACUUUUUUUUAAGUGACAGAAUUGCAAAGCAGCGGUUUCAGCAGGGUUUAUAGACACUUGACUGAGAAUAGUGGGGUUAAUGUUCGUUACAGUCAGCACAUUUACAUGCACAGUUAAAUAAAGCUACGGUCAUAGUUUGAUUAGGUGGUUUAACUGGACUUCUGUCCUUGUCCCAGACUACGAGCACCAGCAAGAAUCAUAUAAUUCAAAGAAGCAUGUUCGCCUCUGCUAUGAUAAGUGCUGACAUACCCUCUCCAAUCCUGCCAUCACCUAGUUCAUGAAUUACGUGUCAAAACAAUCAACAAAAUGAGUUAGCUAUGAAACCCUGUGAGAAAGGAGGGUUUUGUCUGUAUUUACACCCUUUCUUCAGGUGUCGAGGUUUAUUUACACAUUUAUACUAUUCAACUGCCAGCUCAAAGCCUUGCAUGGGAUCAGGUUGUGAUUACACUUAUUCCAGUUCCAGUCCUAUUGAGCUGUGAGAAAAUCAAUCUCCAACCAAAUUAUCUGCAAAUUAGUCAGACUGUUUUAUUAAGUGCAAUUUCAUUCAGACUUGGGCAAAAAGCCAGACUAUCAACAGCUGCAGAUAGGGAUCAAUAUGACCUUGUAAAACCUCUUCUUUUAAUAUGAAUACUGGCAGUAGUAUAUACAAGGACUCUUGUCUCUGUCCUUUUCGCUCACCAAACUUUACCUCAGUUAAAAACUAUUUUAGCUGUGAUUUGCUAAAGGUUUGAACUGACAAUAACAAUGAGGAACACAAAAUUGUUGAGUCCAAGAAUAGUACUAAAACAAAAACAAGGUCUAUGAGGCAAAAAGAAGGGCAGAAAAUUUCCUGAACUGAGUGUAUACUUACACCAAAAUAUCAAUAUAGUGACAAUAUUAAAUUUUCCUUAGGGGAUCAAUAAAGGUCUUCUUGAUUUAUCAAUAGUGGGUAAGAGUUUCUCAAAUUGAUGGUGAUUCAGAUUCAGUGUUAGAUUUAGGGAAUCAGUUGUCAUUAAAUGCAUAGCAAACCAUGUUCCUGCAGAAACCCAGGAGGGACCAAAUCAGAAUCAGAACGCCCUUUAUUGUCAUCAUACUGAAAGUACAAUAAGAUUGGAGAGC